UGUAAACAUCCUACACUCUCAGCUGUGUUGUCAUGGAGCUGGGAGAGGGGUGUUUACGCU
ensembl:miRNA